AGUGCAAGGAGCAACCAUGGCUUCAGAAGACAGAUAAUGAAGCAGAGAGGUCUCUAUAUGUAGCCUUACUCAAAGACAAUCCUUAUAAUUGAGCUACUUAUGGGAAGCAGUACAGUCACACAUGGAAACCGGGGACUGCAAAGCAGCCUCCAGGAAGGAUGGGAACACCUACUGAAACCCCCUCUUUGAUUUCAGGAUGAAUAUAGGAGAAUCAGAAGAGAGAAGAUCUAUGAAAAUCUAGAAAGGAGAGAGGAUCCAGAACAGGAAGAUUGACAAAGUUUGCAGGGAGGUCCAGAAGGAUGAGAAUUAGAUGUGGAAUUUAAGAAAUCUUUGGUAACUUUAACACAGUGAAUUUUUGUACCUCUU
rnacentral:lncRNA from 1 species